rnacentral:rRNA from 1 species
AGACAGGGAAACUGCGUACGGCUCAUUACACCAGCCUUAAAUUACUUGACCUUGACAACCUACUUGGAUAACUGUGGUAAUUCUAGAGCUAAUACAUGCACCAAAGCUCCGAUCCUCGCGGAGAGGAGCGCAUUUGUUCGCCACAAAACCAAGCGCCCAUCUGGGCGUCCAGUGCUGAACCAGAACAACUCAGCUGAUCGCACGGUCUUGUACCGGCGACGUGUCUUUCAAGUGUCUGCCUUAUCAACUUUCGAUGGUAGUGUACCUGACUACCAUGGUUGUGACGGGUAACGGAGGAUAAGGGUUCGACUCCGGAGAAGGGGCCUGAGAAAUGGCCACUACGUCUAAGGAUGGCAGCAGGCGCGCAAAUUACCCACUCUCAACGCGAGGAGGUAGUGACGAGAAAUAACGAGACCGUUCUCAUACGAGGCCGGUUAUUGGAAUGGGUACAAUUUAAA